rnacentral:ncRNA from 2 species
AUCUCGGUGGGACCUCCA